rnacentral:tRNA from 1 species
CACAGUGUAGCUUAAUCAAAGCAUCUGGCUUACACCCAGAAGAAUUCAUAGCAAAUGAACACUCUGA